ensembl:rRNA 5S_rRNA 5S ribosomal RNA
GUCUAUGACCAUACUGCCCUUUAUAUCACACAAUCUCAGAAGUUAAGCAGGGUUGGACCUAGUUAGUACUUAGAUGGGGAAAAUGACCAUAAAUGGUAACUGUUAUAGUUU